rnacentral:rRNA from 1 species
GCGUUGUCCGGAUUUAUUGGGCGUAAGGAGCGUGUAGGCGGUUAGAUAGGUCCGUUGUGAAAACUCGAGGCUCAACCUCGAGACGUCGACGGAAACCAUCUGGCUAGAGUCCGGAAGAGGAGAGUGGAAUUCCUGGUGUAGCGGUGAAAUGCGCAGAUAUCAGGAAGAAUAUCCGUGGCGAAGGCGGCUCUCUGGGACGGUACUGGCGCUGAGACGCGAAAGCGUG